CCUACGGGCGGCAGCAGUGAGGAAUAUUGGUCAAUGGCCGGAAGGCUGAACCAGCCAAGCCGCGUGAAGGACGAAGGUGCCAAGCAUUGUAAACUUCUUUUGUCAAGGGACAAAAUCAGGCUCGAGAGCCUGACCGAGGGUACUUGAAGAAAAAGCAUCGGCUAACUCCGUGCCAGCGGCCGCGGUAAUACGGAGGAUGCGAGCGUUAUCCGGAUUUAUUGGGGUUAACGGGUGCGUGGGCGGGCUGUUAAGUCAGCGGUAAAAGCCCGGGGCUCAACUCCGGCGAGCCUUUGAAACUGGCUGUCUUGAGAUGGCGAGAGGUAUGCGGAAUGCGCAGUGUAGGGGUGAAAUGCUUAGAGAUUGCGCAGAACUCUGAUUGCGAAGGCAGCAUACCGGCGGCGAUCUGACGCUGAGGCACGAAAGCGUGGGUAUCGAACAGGAUUAGAUACCCUGGUAGUC
rnacentral:rRNA from 1 species